rnacentral:rRNA from 1 species
AACGAACGCUGGCGGCGCGCCUAAUACAUGCAAGUCGAGCGAGAAGACGUAGCAAUACGUUUGUAAAGCGGCGAACGGGUGAGGAAUGCAUGGGUAACCUACCCUAGAGUGSGGAAUAACUAGCCGAAAGGUUAGCUAAUACCGCAUACGAUUCCCGGACUUCGGUUCGGGAGGGAAAGCGAUACCGUGGGUAUCGCGCUCUUGGAUGGGCUCAUGUCCUAUCAGCUUGUUGGUGAGGUAAUGGCUCACCAAGGCGUCUUCGACGGGUAGCUGGUCUGAGAGGACGAUCAGCCACACUGGCACUGCGACACGGGCCAGACUCCUACGGGAGGCAGCAGUAAGGAAUAUUGCGCAAUGGACGAAAGUCUGACGCAGCGACGCCGCGUGGGGGAUGAAGGUCUUCGGAUUGUAAACCCCUUUCGGCAGGGAAGAUGGAACGGGUAACCGUUCGAACUGUACCUGCAGAAGCAGCCAGCGGCUAACUUCGUGC